rnacentral:rRNA from 1 species
GUGGGGAAUAUUGGGCAAUGGGGGAAACCCUGACCCAGCAACGCCGCGUGAAGGAAGAAGGUCUUCGGAUUGUAAACUUCUGUCAUUGGGGACGAAGGAAGUGACGGUACCCGAUGAGGAAGCCCCGGCUAACUACGUGCCAGCAGCCGCGGUAAUACGUAGGGGGCGAGCGUUGUCCGGAAUUACUGGGCGUAAAGGGUGCGUAGGCGGCGAUGCAAGUCCAUUGUGAAAAGCCCGGGCUUAACCUGGGAGGUGCAGUGGAAACUGUAUGGCUUGAGUGCAGGAGAGGAAAGUGGAAUUCCUAGUGUAGCGGUGAAAUGCGUAGAUAUUAGGAGGAACACCAGUGGCGAAGGCGACUUUCUGGACUGUAACUGACGCUGAGGCACGAAAGCGUGGGGAGCAAACAGGAUUAGAUACCCGUGUAGUCC